CGUGAGAUGUUGGGUUAAGUCCCGCAACGAGCGCAACCCUCGUUCUGUGUUGCCAGCAUUAAGUUGGGGACUCACAGGAGACUGCCGGGGUUAACUCGGAGGAAGGUGGGGAUGACGUCAAAUCAUCAUGCCCCUUAUGUCUUGGGCUGCACGCAUGCUACAAUGGCUGGUACAAACGGCUGCGAUACCGCAAGGUGGAGCGAAUCCGAUAAAGCCAGUCUCAGUUCGGAUUGGGGUCUGCAACUCGACCCCAUGAAGUCGGAGUUGCUAGUAAUCGUAGAUCAGCAACGCUACGGGUGAAUACGUUCCCGGGGCUUGUACACACCGCCCGUCACGUCACGAAAGUCGGUAACACCCGAAGUCAGUGGCCCAACCGCAAGGAGG
rnacentral:rRNA from 1 species